ensembl:lncRNA
UAUUUCCAUAUUUGCAAUGAACUGUUUGUGCCCCUGGCUAAACUCUACUGAAUAAAUACCUCAAAGCUCUCAUAUUUGCUAGAGACAAAAAGAUGAAGAAAAAAAAGUUGAGGUGCCCUUUCUUUGGUCUCUAAAUAAGAAUCAUGGCCUAACCUGUGCCUGUGUUGACAAAAUGUCAGCCCACUGAAGAUACAUCUAUGUGAGUUACACAUUAAACUGACUCAAAUUUCCAUUUGCACGUUUCCCAAUAUUUUAUAGAUGUUAGGAGGAAAAUUCCAUUCAAGAUAUAAUCUUCCCUGUAGUAGCAGCUAAGCAUAGAACAGUACUUCACGUUCUAAGAUUAUUUUUCAUAAUGCAGGGAAAAGUCAAAGUAGCCAUCUUCCUUACUAGCAGUUUUCUGUUCUGUUCUACAAACAUUUGAAGGAUGAGAUCCUUUGAACAACUAAACAGUCUAAAGCAGAAAUAACCAACCUAGCAUUCUCCAGAUAUUUUGUAUGACAGCUCUUCUAGACCUCAGCCAAGAUGACUGGAACUGAGUGAAAACAUAUGGGAGGCCCCAGGUUGUUUACUGAAAAUUAUUGUUGUUAUUAUGUGCCAUCCAUUUGUUUCUUACUUAUGGAGUUAUCUAAGAUGUUCAAGUAAUGGCUUAUCAUUGCCACAGUCCAUUGAAUUUCUUUUCUUAGCAGACAUUUGAACCUAGAUCUCCUCUGUUGUAUCCAACCAUCUCUCCACUAUACUGCACUGGCUAAAAAAAAUAACAACAGCUGAGAUGAGUGAUCUCUUUCUUUCAAAAAAUAACUGCAAGAGUAAUACCUUUCCUGGUUUUUAAAGAAGGAAAAGACAAAGGAAAAAAGGGAAGGAUAUCCACUCUCCAACAUCCCUGAAGAAGACAACCCACUCCCCAACAUAUGGCCUCCAAAAGAGUUUUGCCUCUUCAAGACUCUCAAGAAAGGACAAGCCAUGAACAGAGACAGAUAAACAGGAGGCCCUCCCUUUCCUCAGAGGACAGUGGAGAAAAGACAGAACUGAAUAAAACAAUGGAUAUCAUCUUCAGGAAUAUCAAGAACGAGGGUUGUUUUCAAAAGCCUGAUACAAGGGGGAAAGACAAUAAUUUUCCCUUUUGUCUGUACACAUUAACCUUCUGAAAGUGCUUUUCUAAACUGUGAAUUUAUUACUCCUUUAAAAGCUUUCUGUUUUCAUUCCAAGACUGCAAAAGGGCAGGGGCCCAGGUGGAAGACGGAGCACUAAAAAAGCAGAGCUAAAAUACAAUUUUCCCUGCAACUUUACCUGCAUACCAAAUUGUCAGAGGUUACCAUCCCCCAGACGGCAAAGAAGAUUUUCCUGCAGUUGAGAGAAAAGGCCGUUUUCUUCAUUCUAACACCCCCCGUUUUGCUCCCUAUAUAAAAAGCCCAGUGUUAACAUACAUGUUAUGACAACAAGCGGAGUUAUUAAUGUAACUUCUCCUUUGACCUUUAGAAUAAUGAGAAGGAAGAAGAUAAAAGGAAAUUCUCCAUUACUUUCUGUAAACUUAUUUACGGGUUAAUUGUCAGAUAAUUUUUAUGAGUACAUUUUGGUACCUCCACAAUGACUUAAAUAUACAAGUGUGGCAAAUGUAUGCCUCUGCAUGUACACUUGUUAAGAAGCUGUAAUUAGCCAUGUAUCACCUUAUAAUAUAUGAAAUUAAGCUGCAAAGAAAGCCUAUGGCAUUGAAAUUGGACUGUAACACUGAUUAGUGCUUGAAAUGUAGUUAACAGAGCAAAAUAAAAAGUGCAUUUUCACAAUUCA